rnacentral:rRNA from 1 species
UACGUAGGCAGCAAGCGUUGUUCGGAAUUACUGGGCGUAAAGAGUGUGUAGGCGGUGUUCUAAGUUUGUCGUGAAAUCUCCCGGCUUAACUGGGAGGGUGCGGCGAAAACUGGAACGCUAGAGGAUGGGAGAGGUAAGCGGAAUUCCUGGUGUAGCGGUGAAAUGCGUAGAUAUCAGGAGGAACACCUGUGGUGUAGACAGCUUACUGGACCAUUUCUGACGCUGAGACACGAAAGCGUGGGUAGCAAACAGG